rnacentral:rRNA from 2 species
UGUAGCAAGGUUAACCGAAUAGGGGAGCCGGAGGGAAACCGAGUCUUAAUUGGGCGUUAAGUUGCAGGGUAUAGACCCGAAACCCGGUGAUCUAGCCAUGGGCAGGUUGAAGGUUGGGUAACACUAACUGGAGGACCGAACCGACUAAUGUUGAAAAAUUAGCGGAUGACCUGUGGCUGGGGGUGAAAGGCCAAUCAAACCGGGAGAUAGCUGGUUCUCCCCGAAAGCUAUUUAGGUAGCGCCUCGUGAAUUCAUCUCCGGGGGUAGAGCACUGUUUCGGCUAGGGGGCCAUCCCGGCUUACCAACCCGAUGCAAACUGCGAAUACCGGAGAAUGUUAUCACGGGAGACACACGGCGGGUGCUAACGUCCGUCGUGAAGAGGGAAACAACCCAGACCGCCAGCUAAGGUCCCAAAGUCAUGGUUAAGUGGGAAACGAUGUGGGAAGGCCCAGACAGCCAGGAUGUUGGCUUAGAAGCAGCCAUCAUUUAAAGAAAGCGUAAUAGCUCACUGGUCGAGUCGGCCUGCGCGGAAGAUGUAACGGGGCUAAACCAUGCACCGAAGCUGCGGCAGCGACACUGUGUGUUGUUGGGUAGGGGAGCGUUCUGUAAGCCUGUGAAGGUGUGUCGUGAGGCAUGCUGGAGGUAUCAGAAGUGCGAAUGCUGACAUAAGUAACGAUAAAGCGGGUGAAAAGCCCGCUCGCCGGAAGACCAAGGGUUCCUGUCCAACGUUAAUCGGGGCAGGGUGAGUCGACCCCUAAGGCGAGGCCGAAAGGCGUAGUCGAUGGGAAACGGGUUAAUAUUCCCGUACUUGGUGUUACUGCGAAGGGGGGACGGAGAAGGCUAUGUUGGCCGGGCGACGGUUGUCCCGGUUUAAGCGUGUAGGUGUGUGUUCCAGGUAAAUCCGGUUCACUUUAACACUGAGGCGUGACGACGAGGCACUACGGUGCUGAAGCAACAAAUGCCCUGCUUCCAGGAAAAGCCUCUAAGCAUCAGGUAACAUCAAAUCGUACCCCAAACCGACACAGGUGGUCAGGUAGAGAAUACCAAGGCGCUUGAGAGAACUCGGGUGAAGGAACUAGGCAAAAUGGUGCCGUAACUUCGGGAGAAGGCACGCUGACACGUAGGUGAAGUGAUUUACUCAUGGAGCUGAAGUCAGUCGAAGAUACCAGCUGGCUGCAACUGUUUAUUAAAAACACAGCACUGUGCAAACACGAAAGUGGACGUAUACGGUGUGACGCCUGCCCGGUGCCGGAAGGUUAAUUGAUGGGGUCAGCGCAAGCGAAGCUCCUGAUCGAAGCCCCGGUAAACGGCGGCCGUAACUAUAACGGUCCUAAGGUAGCGAAAUUCCUUGUCGGGUAAGUUCCGACCUGCACGAAUGGCGUAAUGAUGGCCAGGCUGUCUCCACCCGAGACUCAGUGAAAUUGAACUCGCUGUGAAGAUGCAGUGUACCCGCGGCAAGACGGAAAGACCCCGUGAACCUUUACUAUAGCUUGACACUGAACAUUGAGCCUUGAUGUGUAGGAUAGGUGGGAGGCUUUGAAGUGUGGACGCCAGUCUGCAUGGAGCCGACCUUGAAAUACCACCCUUUAAUGUUUGAUGUUCUAACGUGGACCCGUUACCCGGGUUGCGGACAGUGUCUGGUGGGUAGUUUGACUGGGGCGGUCUCCUCCUAAAGAGUAACGGAGGAGCACGAAGGUUGGCUAAUCCUGGUCGGACAUCAGGAGGUUAGUGCAAUGGCAUAAGCCAGCUUGACUGCGAGCGUGACGGCGCGAGCAGGUGCGAAAGCAGGUCAUAGUGAUCCGGUGGUUCUGAAUGGAAGGGCCAUCGCUCAACGGAUAAAAGGUACUCCGGGGAUAACAGGCUGAUACCGCCCAAGAGUUCAUAUCGACGGCGGUGUUUGGCACCUCGAUGUCGGCUCAUCACAUCCUGGGGCUGAAGUAGGUCCCAAGGGUAUGGCUGUUCGCCAUUUAAAGUGGUACGCGAGCUGGGUUUAGAACGUCGUGAGACAGUUCGGUCCCUAUCUGCCGUGGGCGCUGGAGAACUGAGGGGGGCUGCUCCUAGUACGAGAGGACCGGAGUGGACGCAUCACUGGUGUUCGGGUUGUCAUGCCAAUGGCACUGCCCGGUAGCUAAAUGCGGAAGAGAUAAGUGCUGAAAGCAUCUAAGCACGAAACUUGCCCCGAG